GAUGAACGCUGGCGGCGUGCCUAAUACAUGCAAGUCGAGCGAACAGACGAGGAGCUUGCUCCUCUGACGUUAGCGGCGGACGGGUGAGUAACACGUGGAUAACCUACCUAUAAGACUGGGAUAACUUCGGGAAACCGGAGCUAAUACCGGAUAAUAUAUUGAACCGCAUGGUUCAAUAGUGAAAGACGGUUUUGCUGUCACUUAUAGAUGGAUCCGCGCCGCAUUAGCUAGUUGGUAAGGUAACGGCUUACCAAGGCAACGAUGCGUAGCCGACCUGAGAGGGGGACCGGCCACACUGGAAUUGAGACACGGCCCAGACCCCAAGGGAAGGCAGCAGAAGGGAACCUUCGGCAAUGGGCGAAAGCCGGACGGAGCAACGCCGCGGGAGGGAGGAAGGUCUUCGGAUCGUAAAACCCUGUUAUAAGGGAAAAACAAAUGGGUAAGUACUAUGCACGUCUUGACGGUACCUAAUCAGAAAGCCACGGCUAACUACGUG
rnacentral:rRNA from 1 species